rnacentral:lncRNA from 1 species
CAGUCUCUUCCUUACAGCAAUUCAGUCAUACCAAUAACUGUUAUUUCCACCAAUAUAUUCACCCUCAUAAUCUCCAACUCUAAUACUGCGCCCUCAUAGCUUUCAACACACAAUUAUCCUCGUUCCAAUCACUGGAAUUCUUUACAUAGAACUGCCAUUCACAUUACAGUGUUUCACACAAACACAGACUCAUUCUCUCUGCUGAACUAUAAUCAGAUUUCAGCAUUCAAUCUUUCUUCUUCUCAAAUAAUACCAAUCGCAUUUCCAUUCCAUAAUUCACUUCACAAUAUUCAGAAACUUUCAAUCCUCUUAUUCAAAGAAAAUAACAAACAAAAGAAAAGAGGUAGCACCAAGCUUACCUCGGCUCACAACUCUCACAGUCUGGCAUUUUCUUCCCCUCUCCCAUCCUCCUUAUACUACUCCGAGAUACCAACUCCUAUACUAUAGAUGAUAAUUACUUUUCCUGACUAUUCAUCCAUUCUACCUGCUGAAC